AAAUCUAGAAGGUUGAGGGCGUGUGUCAGUGUAAAUAUUCAAGUAUUCAGCUCUGCUCAACCGAUUUCUUCUGAAAGCAAUUGUACUUUUGCUACAUGGGAGGCCGUUACUUUCAGCCCUGCUUUCAUGGAAAUGAUGACGACUUUUUGAGGAAAAUGGUGAUCUGACAAGCAAGUGGAGUCUGUAAAACUCAUUCACUGCAUCCACGAUGUACAUAUAUGUAUUAAUAUAUCCACACCAUGGUUUGUAUUCAGUCAGAAUUAUUUUAUUUGGAUAAGAAUAAAAUUGAUCUCUUAUAAAUAUCUUGCCGAUGUAAGCUUGGACGCUUAUCAAAAUAUAUUUAAAAAUUUAGAUAAAUCUUCAGGCUUUUUUAAUUCUUCACAGAAAUAUUUGAAUUUACCAUAUAAAUAUAAUAUUUUUAUUCCAAGAAAUUGCCCGUACGGUAUCAAUUUUUGAAAUUAGACCUUAUUAUUCACUAAAUUUACUCUUAUAUAAAGUUGUGCUAAUCUAAUGUAUUAGGUAUGUCAAAAAACCAUGCGUUGUUCAUGUGUUGUUCACAUGGUUGCUCAUAUGCUUGUUCACGUGCCGAAAAUCAUAUAUGACAUUUAAUAUAUCAUUCAUUCAUACGCUUACAUCAUUCAUUCAUACGCUCGUAGUGGGAGCGUUGUCGGUGUGUAUGAAAAUACAAAUGAGAGCAGCAAGGAUUGCGUUUGUUUUUUUAAAGGCUUCUCUCAUCGAUCUUUUACAGUCAGUUAAAUGAUCUCGUGUCAUUACAAAGUGGUCGACUGAACAAACGAGGAUAUAAACAUUAUUUAAACGACGUCAAAAUAUAAACAAUAUAUAAACCACUUGCCCUGAAGAGCUUAUGAAGACGAAUGCCGAAAUCAUGUCAAAUGUGAGGGCUAACCGAGUUCGAAUUACGGCCAGCCAUGUCAUUUAUAUAAUCUGUCGAAUGAGAUAAAUAUAUUUUCUUUCUUAAAUGA